rnacentral:rRNA from 1 species
UACAGAGGGUGCAAGCGUUAAUCGGAAUUACUGGGCGUAAAGGGUGCGUAGGUGGUUUGUUAAGUCAGGUGUGAAAUCCCUGGGCUCAACCUGGGAACUGCGCUUGAUACUGGCAGACUAGAGUCUGGUAGAGGGUAGUGGAAUUCCGCAUGUAGCGGUGAAAUGCGUAGAGAUGCGGAGGAACACCAGUGGCGAAGGCGGCUACCUGGACCAAGACUGACACUGAGGCACGAAAGCGUGGGUAGCAAACAGGAUUAGAA